AGACCACAAAGACAAACUUUGGAAGGAGGGCACCAACAAGUUUCGUUCAGCAGCAGAGCAUCCAAUCCUUUGCAGAGCUCCUCUUCCCCACUGGCCGGUUAUAAGAGCUCAGGCUGUCAUAAUGAAGGACCACAGACUGGGAAGCUGGAACAAGAGAAAUUAAUGGUAUCCCAGUUCUGGAGGCCGGAAGACCAAGAUCAAGUAACAGAGAAAACUCGCUUCGCCACCCUGGAAUUAAUGAGAACCCAAGAGAAGCUGACAUGCAACCAUAUGAGCCACCCUGCUGGCAAAUGUCUGUUCCCCAAAUCUCAUGGAUCAAACUCUCUGCUUAACAUCUGGCCUGAGGGCAGAAUCCA